GGACCCCAUUCAGGGAUCAGGACAGAACACACACAACUCACCAUGGAGUCUGUGCUCCACUGGGUUUUCCUUGUUGCUAUUUUAAAAGGUGUCCAGGGAGAGGUGCAGCUGGUGGAGUCUGGGGGAGACCUGGUGAAGCCUGGGGGGUCCCUGAGACUCUCCUGUGUGGCUUCUGGAUUCACCUUCAGUAGUUACUGGAUAAGCUGGGUCCGCCAGGCUCCAGGGAAGGGGCUGCACUGGGUCUCAGUAAUUAACAAGGAUGGAAGCAGCACAUACCACGCAGACGCUGUGAAGGGCCGAUUCACCAUCUCCAGAGACAACGCCAAGAACACGCUGUAUCUGCAGAUGAACAGCCUGAGAGCCGAGGACACGGCCGUGUAUUACUGUGCACACACCGUGAGGGGACCUCAAAUAUUCUGGAUCAGCCUCCUUCUUGUCCUCAUCGCCACAGCUAUAUCUCCCCAUGACAACAUCCACACCUCCUACAUUCAAAAGGAGGUUGAUUUUCCACCUGUGGACUUGCAGUUUUUGUUCUCUCAGACCUCUGAGUGA